AAACUUUCCCUUUUCCGUAGCUGAUAACGUUGCUGCUACCUAAUUUCGGUGCCAGAUAACGUCGUAACAACAUUGUGACAACGGGAAAUUGUUAGCUGGCCAAACUAUACAUCACAGCGUACACAACUGAGCAGUGAGAGAGUCCCCUGUUGGUUCUGCACAUGAGGUCUGAGAAGUCAGCACUCAGGUCCAAUUCGCCCCAUCCCCAUGAUGGCCAAGAGCACUCCCCUGAUCCACCACCAUGCAGUGUCCAUGGCAACAGAGAAGUGAGGAGGGAUUCUUCCCGGUCUCAGACCUGCUCUCCCAUCAGACCUGCUCUCCCAUCCUACCUCAGUCACUCUGGUUGAGUUACAAGCCCUAAUCAGACAAAUGGAUGGUCUACUCUGUUUGAAUAUUGAUGUUGGGAGCGGGGGACCUUGAAACCUCCCCUAGGGGCUUCUCCAGAGGGCAGAAAGAGCUGUAGUGCUAUUGCAUACUCUAAUUACUGUAGGGUGGAGGAAAGUGUUAUGCGUGAUGUUUAGGAUAAAUAGCUCUAUGUUUGUUAGCUGGAAAUUCUGGCACUAUAUGUAGCAGAUGGUUUUAAAUCCAAUAUUCAGAUACAUUCAGUACAUUUAAUAUUGUAGAUAGGAUUUGAAUGAGGAGAGUUGAGAAAUCCCGGACAUUUUUUUCCAUGCAGUCAAACACACGUAGCCUGGUAAUUUAUUCAGGCUAUCAAACGGUAGAAUGAUGAAAGGGGUUUAGUGUCAGUAAGAGUGUUUGGGAACCAGGCCAGGAGACCAUGGUUUAAAUCUCCCCUCCUGCGUACGACUGUCCUGGGAUCCUUAACAACCUCUGGAUAGACGUCUUCUCAUCUUUUACUGUAGACGGACCACACUAGAGAGGGGAAGACAGGAUACUUAAAGGGAACAGUGGUAUUCAAGAGGGAGCUCAAAAAUAACAGAACAGUAAUGCAGAAAGAGUAUUUGCGCUGCAGGUACUCUAGUUAAGCGGUUAAACCGUGUGACUGGUUACUGAAAGGUUACUGCAUCCAAUCCCAGAGCCAAGCUGAAAAAUCUGUUGUUCCUCCUUCAGCUAGACAGUUAACUCAGAUUGUUCCUGUAAGUCACUACGGAAGAAGGGCUGAAGUGAACCAAAAAAAAAAAGCAAUGGAUGAAGAGGCACGUCAAAGUGUUGACGCUGAGGAUCUAAGUGAUUGUCUUAGUCAGUAUUGACAGCCAGGCAGACAGAAAGAGGAAUCCGAUUGGUUGGUGGCCUGGUAUUGAAUAGCCGUCAGUGAUAACCAGAUCUUCUAUUUCUUCGUCAGAGUUUCCUUCACUAUGUGAUCUGAUCCCAGGCUCCCAUUAAACCCUGCAGGCACUGGGUCUGUGUGCGUGUUGUAUAUGUAUGCUUGUUUCAAAGUCUUUGUGCAGCUGGGUCAGGUUCAGUGAAGCAGCACAUUAUUGCGGCAGGCUGAUGUUCUGGAAAUUCUUAACAAGCAGACACAGCAUUUUUGUGUUUAUUUGUGUAUGUGUUAUCAUGUCGUUUAUGUGUUAUUAUGUGUCUGUAUAUAGCCUACAGGAUGUUUUAUAUUUGUGUCAGUUUGUCUGCAUGCGUUUGUGAAAGACUCAGACAUGUUUAUAUGUACAAACGCACACCUGGGUACCUACAAAUGCAGCUCUAACCUUUAUGCUUCCAAACACAGUCAUUGCCUGAUGAUCUUUCAUUUCACAGUCAUUUCGAACAAUCUUUCUUUUAGAUGUAUAUGCUAUAAGAAAUCUGAAAUUUAAUUUCCCUUGUUAAUAAUUGGGUCAG
ensembl:lncRNA